UCUUUGGUAGUAUAUUGGUUAGUACACGCGCCUGUCAUUUGGACUAAGCUAUUUUGGUUGAGCUAACGCACGAAAGCUGGGUUCGACUCCCAGCCAGAGAG